rnacentral:rRNA from 1 species
AGAGUUUGAUCAUGGCUCAGAUUGAACGCUGGCGGCAGGCCUAACACAUGCAAGUCGAACGGUAACAGGAAACAGCUUGCUGUUUCGCUGACGAGUGGCGGACGGGUGAGUAAUGUCUGGGAAACUGCCUGAUGGAGGGGGAUAACUACUGGAAACGGUAGCUAAUACCGCAUAACGUCGCAAGACCAAAGAGGGGGACCCUCGGGCCUCUUGCCAUCGGAUGUGCCCAGAUGGGAUUAGCUUGUUGGUGGGGUAACGGCUCACCAAGGCGACGAUCCCUAGCUGGUCUGAGAGGAUGACCAGCCACACUGAACUGAGACACGGUCCAGACUCCUACGGGAGGCAGCAGUGGGGAAUAUUGCACAAUGGGCGCAAGCCUGAUGCAGCCAUGCCGCGUGUAUGAAGAAGGCCUUCGGGUUGUAAAGUACUUUCAGCGGGGAGGAAGGGAGUAAAGUUAAUACCUUUGCUCAUUGACGUUACCCGCAGAAGAAGCACCGGCUAACUCCGUGCCAGCAGCCGCGGUAAUACGGAGGGUGCAAGCGUUAAUCGGAAUUACUGGGCGUAAAGCGCACGCAGGCGGUUUGUUAAGUCAGAUGUGAAAUCCCCGGGCUCAACCUGGGAACUGCAUCUGAUACUGGCAAGCUUGAGUCUCGUAGAGGGGGGUAGAAUUCCAGGUGUAGCGGUGAAAUGCGUAGAGAUCUGGAGGAAUACCGGUGGCGAAGGCGGCCCCCUGGACGAAGACUGACGCUCAGGUGCGAAAGCGUGGGGAGCAAACAAGAUUAGAUACCCUGGUAGUCCACGCCGUAAACGAUGUCGACUUGGAGGUUGUGCCCUUGAGGCGUGGCUUCCGGAGCUAACGCGUUAAGUCGACCGCCUGGGGAGUACGGCCGCAAGGUUAAAACUCAAAUGAAUUGACGGGGGCCCGCACAAGCGGUGGAGCAUGUGGUUUAAUUCGAUGCAACGCGAAGAACCUUACCUGGUCUUGACAUCCACGGAAGUUUUCAGAGAUGAGAAUGUGCCUUCGGGAACCGUGAGACAGGUGCUGCAUGGCUGUCGUCAGCUCGUGUUGUGAAAUGUUGGGUUAAGUCCCGCAACGAGCGCAACCCUUAUCCUUUGUUGCCAGCGGUCCGGCCGGGAACUCAAAGGAGACUGCCAGUGAUAAACUGGAGGAAGGUGGGGAUGACGUCAAGUCAUCAUGGCCCUUACGACCAGGGCUACACACGUGCUACAAUGGCGCAUACAAAGAGAAGCGACCUCGCGAGAGCAAGCGGACCUCAUAAAGUGCGUCGUAGUCCGGAUUGGAGUCUGCAACUCGACUCCAUGAAGUCGGAAUCGCUAGUAAUCGUGGAUCAGAAUGCCACGGUGAAUACGUUCCCGGGCCUUGUACACACCGCCCGUCACACCAUGGGAGUGGGUUGCAAAAGAAGUAGGUAGCUUAACCUUCGGGAGGGCGCUUACCACUUUGUGAUUCAUGAC